rnacentral:rRNA from 1 species
CUCGUAGGCGGUUCAGUAAGUCGGGUGUGAAAGCUCCGAGCUCAACUCGGAGAGGCCACCCGAUACUGCUGUGACUUGAGUCCAGUAGAGGAGCGUGGAACUCCUGGUGUAGCGGUGAAAUGCGCAGAUAUCAGGAAGAACACCUGCAGCGAAGGCGGCGCUCUGGGCUGGAACUGACGCUGAGGAGCGAAAGCGUGGGUAGCAAACAGGAUUAGAUACCCUGGUAGUCC